AAGCUGGAGCAGCUGGAGAAGGCCAUGGGGAGCAGCACCGCCGCCAACGAUGACGCUCUCUUCUCCCACCUCGCCUCCGACACCGUGCACUAUAACCCCUCCGACAUCUUCACAUGGGUCGACAACAUCCUUUCGGAGCUUAACGCACCUCCUACCCCUCUGGCCCCGCCGCCGCCACCACCACCACCCGCCCUCCCGUUGCACAACCGCCACCACCAACGUCAUUUUGAUCUCCCACUCGCUGCCCCGGAACAAUCCACCAUCACCACCGUCGACCUCCCAACCGCACCCCGGCAUCUGGCGGACAACUACGACCUCAAGCCACUGCCU
rnacentral:lncRNA from 1 species